GCGGCGUGGAAUUGUUUGGUAUCGUUCUUCUCGUUCUGAACUUUCUCGACGGCUUGUAUAAACUUUCAAAGUUGAAUUGGCAUAUCGCUUACCAAAUCGCCAUGUCGAUCUGUUACAUCGUCUUGAGCGUCCGAUUGGUCCAGUUGAUCCUUGCCUUCCGCGGAGAGUAACUGCCGGUUNNUACUGCGCCGCGAACUGGCUCAGUACAUCCUUGCACGCGGGUGACAGCGAACCAGCCCGCA
rnacentral:misc_RNA from 1 species